AGUAAAUGACAAGAUAAUUGGAUAUAUUGAUAAGCAAGUAAAUGACCAGAUAACUGGAUAUAUAUAUGAUAAAUAAAUGCUUGAACAAAUAUAUGAAUAAGGAUUUAAAGCAAUGAAUAUGACCUCAGACAGUUGACCAAAUAACUGGAUGAGUGAUCUCCGUAAAGUAGUCAACCUCUGUAUUUGACCAGAUAACUGGAAGACGGAUCCUUUUCAAUUAAGUGUUGUUUAGUUAUUUUUAGAUGAAAGAUAAAAACUAGAGUUAACAAAGAACAACACAAGAGAUUUAUACUGGUUCACCCAAACAAGGGCUAGUCCAGUCCCGACCAACUGUCGGAAUUCACUCGCCUAAAGGUUAUGGCAAAACCUUAGAGUAUCAAGGAAACUCUUAAGAACCUCUCUAAGCUUUAAGGCUAUUUCGUUUAGGAACUAGUCUUUUACGGGUAGACUCACACCUUAGAGUAUCAAGGGCACUCUUAAGAACCUCUAACUUUUGCGGGUAAGUUAGUACCUUAGAGUAUCAAGGAACUCUUAAAAACCUCUAUAAGCUUUAAGGCUACUUCGCUUAGGAACCAGUCUUUUACGGGUAGACUCACACCUUAGAGUAUCAAGGGCACUCUUAAGAACCUCUAACUUUUGCGGGUAAGUUAGUACCUUAGAAUAUCAAGGAACUCUUAAAAACCU
rnacentral:lncRNA from 1 species